AACGAACGCUGGCGGCGUACCUAACACAUGCAAGUCGUACGAGAAAUUCCGAUUCGUCGGGAGAGUAAAGUGGCGAACGGGUGAGUAACACUAGGGUAAUCUUCCCUUAAAUAAGGGAUAACGUUGCGAAAGCGACGCUAAUACCUUAUAAGACUACGAUCUCUUAGGAGGUAGUAGGAAAAGAUGGCCUCUGUUUCAAGCUAUCGUUUAAGGAUGAGCCCUAGCACUAUUAGCUAGUUGGUGAGGUAACGGCUCACCAAGGCGACGAUGGUUAGCUGGUCUGAGAGGAUGGCCAGCCACACUGGAACUGAGACACGGUCCAGACUCCUACGGGAGGCAGCAGUGAGGAAUAUUGCGCAAUGGGGCAACCCUGACGCAGUGACGCCGCGUGAGUGAUGAACGGCUUUUCGAGUCGUAAAGCUCUGUUAGGUGGAAAGAACACCCGGGCUAAUAUCGUCGGGACUUGACGGUACCACCAGAGGAAGCACCGGCUAAACUCCGUGCC
rnacentral:rRNA from 1 species